GUCUAUGGCCAUACCACCCUGAAUGCGCCCAAUCUUGUCUGAUCUCGGAAGCUAAGCAGGGUCGGGCCUGGUUUGUACUUGGAAGGUAGAUUUCCCUUUCAGUUAGGGUUCGAUUUCUU
rnacentral:rRNA from 1 species